GUGGGUAGAAAAUGCAUAUAUAGAGAGGAGUCUGAGGGCAUGGAGCGGCGCUUUUAAACUGUCCGUUAUGGAGAUGACAAACGAAGAGACAGCCUGUCAAGUCCAUGCAGUUUUAAUGGAGCCCGAGCCCGUGAGCCGUCUGAGGGCAAAGUACCACUCACUGCGGCGACAGGUGUGCCUCAUCCAGUCCAUCAGCGUGCUCUUCUGCUUCAGCUGCUGCCUGCUCGCGCUCCGCUAUCACGCGUUCCCGCCGACCUGCACGGAAAAUGGAACCAAGGAGGCACCUACAUUUGGAAUGCAGUAUCAAGAAGCUGAAUCGCAUAGCGGAGAAAAAACAAUCCUGACACAAAGACACACAUCUUUCACUCGCUUGACAGUUAAAGACAAUGUCACGUUCACUAAAGAAGAAGGAUAUGUGCCGUGGAUGUAUACACCAGAGUAUCCAACACCAAAUCAUACCAGAUACUUCAUCCUGGAUGACGAUAAUGAAUCUCUGAGAGUCCAUCAUGGUGGAACAUACAAGGUUUCUCUUCAGAUCACGUACGGAAAAUCCAGCGAAAAAACAGAGGAAAUAGUUCUGCAACAUGAUAUUCAUCAUUAUACUGAUGAAUAUGAUAAGCCCCUGACCCUGCUCGUCCACUGGGAAACAGUCAACCUCAAAUACUGGAAGAAAAGUCUGUUCUCUGAGGGUAUUUUUUCUCUCAAAUCUGGGGACAGACUCAAGGUGUGGUCCAAUAAUCGGAAGCUCAUUGACGUUGGAGGGACAAUUUCGCAAAAAACAGCCUUUGUGGUGUAUCCUCAUUUUUCCUUUUGAGGAUACGGCAAAUAUGGAAAUCACUAAAAAGGCCAUUUCUUCUAUAGCUUUGCAUAAAAAUCAAAAGAGCUGCCUUGAAGUAUCAUAUUCAUCUGAGAUGACCUUGUGGUCAAAACAGAUUCUUCUUCUGUCAACAGAAUAAUUUGAAUCUCAGAUUUAUUUGUGCUAUAAUCAAUAGCAAAUGUAUGUACAGAAGAAAACCCUUAUGAAAAAAUACUGUGGUACAGUAACAGUGUCACAAGGUAAUACCAGGAUACUUUGAUAUCAACUAUAGUACUGAAAAUAAUUCCUUCUAGGGUAGUUUUUAAAGAAUAUCAUGGUACAUAUAAAACAGCAUGCUGAUAACAUAAUAUUUUUUUAUAUUUUCUUUUGUAUGAGAAGACUUCUGCUUCACGGCUGGGGACAAAACAGGCAAUGGCUUGGGUUUUUAAAACAUUUUUAAGUACUACAACUGUGGAGGAAUUGAAAUUUAAUAAUGAAGUUGUAUUUUUGUUUCAUUUUGAUUGAAUUUGGUACGAUAACAUACUGUUGUAUGCAUUAACAUACUCUUUAUAUGCUUUUGUAUGUUUUAUUGUCUGAUUAAGGAUUUGGGCUGUUAACGCAAAGGUUACAGGUUCAGUAACAUUACAGAGUGAAGAGAAUGAUCAAUACCCUAUAUUGCUUUGUUCCCUAGUGUGUUUUUAAGGUGCAUCAUGGUUGCUGUCAUUGGAAUUUGUAGGCUAUAAGUUACUUUGUAUUAAAUGGGUUUGCAAUCACCAAAUAUGACCUUCAUAAAGAUUUGCAUUAAAGACAAUUUCAUGUAUUUGAAUACAUCUUCAUACUGACAUUAUUCUUUGACCAUGAAGAAUCAAUAAAUACUAUUACAUAAUGCUGUUUGUCUUCA
ensembl:lncRNA